UUGUCUCCUUUAGGGAGACAAGAUUCGUUAAUGAGAGAAUAGAUAGAAGUUUCCUGAAAUCUAACAGUUGAUUAUAGUGAACCACAAACGAAAGAACCCCAAAUUACUGUUUUAAAGAACUAGAAGGCCAGGGUGGGCUUAGGGAAAGGAGAGAUUCAUUGCACAGUUGGGAAGCAAACUAGCUCAGAGAAAGGCCUGCAUUUAGGCUGGGGGGAAAAGAGCAUGAUUUAUUGCUUGCUUCUGCUAUGGGGUUUGUUUAUGGCAUGGGUAUAUACUACCACAGGGAAAGACAGGAUUGCAAAAGUUGAAAACUGAAUUCACACAGUAGAGCGAAAAGAUAAAGAUAAGAAGAAACAUUUUUACGUGUGCUUUCCCUCUGGCCAAAGUAAAUUCAUUCUUAGCUGUGAUUUUAUAAAAUGUUUAGAAGAUAGAUAAUUUCAGUGGCAACUUUUUGUGCUUUCAGGUCCACGAUGAAGGUGACUUUUUGUGUCCAUAGACCUAGGUAUUGGAGCAGAAGUGUGCUAUAGCACAUAUCUGACUUAUAAAUGUAGUGAUGUGACUGCAAGUUUGUUUGUUAGGCUUCCUAGACAUGAGAAAGUAUAUAGAAAGAGAAACUGGUAACGGCUCUCUGAAGCCCGAUGUGUGCACAUUUCUUAUUUCAUUUAUCUUGAUCUAACCUACUCUCCCCCUUGAUAUCCUGUUUGAAAAAUAACAAUCUGGUAUGGCAUUGGUACAUUUAAUUUUGCUUCAGACUGGUGGAUACAAUGUUUUCCUGUGUGCUGUCACCAACUUUUACUGGUUAUAGUUAGUUCAUUCCAGACCAACAUUUCAAAACUUUUUGAAGAUUAUUUUCUUUCAAACUUAUAAUUGCUUAAAAUGAAAGGGAGGCUGCCCUCUUUUUUAAAUUUUGGAAAAGAAAAUGAUCCCAACUUAAUAAUAGAAAUGCCAAAUGAUAAUAAUACAGGUUGAGUAUUUUACUUUAAUUGACAUAAUUGAAAGUUAGCACGAUUGUUAACACAUAAACAGAGGAGUGAUAUAAGAUGCAGCAGUGAGGGAGUUUUUCCAUCUAGUUGCAAAAUUGGAAAUCAAGUAAAUCUGAAACUGUUCAACGCGAGUACUCUUCCAGUGGUCUGUAUGACUGGAAUCAUAGGAAGGGCAGAGAGGAAGAAAAAAAAAAUCUGUCUUGAAGUGUAUUUAUUAAAAUAUGUAUGCAAGUUGGCACAUAUUUUAUCCCAAUAGAUGGGUAAAUCAAAUAUAUUAGAAUUCUAUAUAAAAAUAUGAUUUUUUACGACGUGUACUUUCUACUCUCUCACUGAAAAAUUUGCAUGCAUUGAAAUAACUUCAAUACGCUCAUUUUGUGAACAGCUAAUGUAGUUGGUUGCUUUUAGAUAAAGCCUGCUGGAAAAUUAGGUUAACAAAGGGUAAAGGUGAAGAGCUUGGAGGUUUCAGUGCUGGUUGAGACCGGGCUGCUGAGGUUGUGUAGCCGUGCCUAGAGGGCGGGGUUCCUGUACAUUCCUACUUCAGCAGAUAACCGGCCCCCAGCACCACUCCAGUUUCUGCCAGACUGAUGGAAGUCUCCAAACGAGAAUCUGCGCAGUCCUUCCAAGAAGCAGGGUUCUGCUUGAUGUUGUCGGGAAGCUGCCAAGGCAAAAGACUGGAGAACUGUGAACAUUCUCGCCCCGGGGAUCGAGCUUGGAACAGGAAGGCUGGCACAUCAGAGGGUGUCGAACUGCCAGGGUGCUGACACCAAGCAGAAAUUUUCAAGUUUAAAGCAACACUCCCUGGACUCAUGACAUGUCCCUGGAGAGAGCUACUUCAUCAUUCUUCAGACAAAAAAAAAUUGAUUCCCUUCAGUAUCCUCCAGUUUUAUUACGACUAGAUAGAACUUUAUGUUCAUUCAGAUCGCUUCCAUGCCUGAAUUCUUGGUCAUCUUCCUGUCUUCUA